rnacentral:rRNA from 1 species
UACGUAGGGGACAAGCGUUGUCCGGAAUCAUUGGGCGUAAAGCGCGCGUAGGCGGCUUGGCAAGUCGGAUGUGAAAUCCCUCGGCUCAACCAAGGAAGUGCAUCCGAAACUGCUGAGCUUGAGUACUUAAGAGGAUCGCGGAAUUCCCGGUGUAGAGGUGAAAUUCGUAGAUAUCUGGAGGAACACCGGUGGCGAAGGCGGCGUUCUGGACUGCUACUGGCACUGAGGAACGAAAGCCAGGGGAGCAAACGGG